rnacentral:rRNA from 1 species
GUGAAAUUGUUGAAAGGGAAACGGUUGAAGUCAGUCAUGCCGGCGGGAAUCAACUUAGGGGAAACUCUGAGUGCAUUUCUUCGCUUGGCAGGUUAGCGUCGAUUUUGAAUGUCAUAAAAUGAUUGGGGGAAGGUAGCUCUUUCGGGAGUGUUAAGCCCUUAGUAGAUGUGAUGUUCGGGAUCGAGGAUUGCAACGGAUACCCUCUGGGCUAGCCGCCUGAUCUCUAAUACGUUGUUGGGUUAUGGAUAGCAUGCUAACCAUGAUCUGAUUUUCGGUUAAAAGGUUAGAGCGAGUGUAAAUUCGUUAAGGACGCUGACGUAAUGGCUUUAAACGAC